rnacentral:rRNA from 1 species
AAACGCUAGCGAUAGGCUUAACACAUGCAAGGUCAGGGGCAGCAUGGCUUAGCUUGCUAAGACUGAUGGCGACCGGCGCACGGGUGCGUAACGCGUAUGCAACUUGCCUCACAGAGGGGGAUAACCCGUCGAAAGACGGACUAAUACCGCGUACACUCUAUGUUGGGCAUCCAAUGUAGAGGAAAUGAAAUUCGCUGUGAGAUAGGCAUGCGUCCCAUUAGCUAGUUGGUGAGGUAACGGCUCACCAAGGCGACGAUGGGUAGGGGAACUGAGAGGUUGAACCCCCACACUGGUACUGAGACACGGACCAGACUCCUACGGGAGGCAGCAGUGAGGAAUAUUGGUCAAUGGGCGAGAGCCUGAACCAGCCAAGUCGCGUGAAGGAUGACUGUCUUAUGGAUUGUAAACUUCUUUUAUACGGGAAUAACAAGAGUCACGUGUGACUUCCUGCAUGUACCGUAUGAAUAAGCAUCGGCUAACUCCGUG